rnacentral:rRNA from 1 species
UACGGAGGGUGCAAGCGUUAAUCGGAAUUACUGGGCGUAAAGCGUGCGCAGGCGGUUUGUUAAGUCUGCUGUGAAAACCCGAGGCUCAACCUCGGGCCUGCAGUGGGUACGGGCAGACUAGAGUGCGGUAGGGGAGAUUGGAAUUCCUGGUGUAGCGGUGGAAUGCGCAGAUAUCAGGAGGAACACCGGUGGCGAAGGCGGAUCUCUGGGCCGAUACUGACGCUGAGGAGCGAAAGCGUGGGGAGCGAACAGG